rnacentral:SRP_RNA from 1 species
AAUCUGUCACGGAUAACCUAGUGGGAGGUCAGCCGCCAAGCCAGUGGCCUUGCUUCGGCUUAUGCCAGCAGGACUGGUGCCCGGUACGAAUCCUGGGGUCGUCGUUAUACUCGUGCGAGUAGUCCACGAUCGCUAUGACGCGCUAAGCAAUGGAAAUGACCCUUGAGGGAAGCAAUUCUGCAGAGACAUUUCCACCCUGGGAUGGCGUCGCCGGAUUACACCGUCCUGUUACAGGGACGUUGGCUGCUUGGUUGGACAACUACAUCUCUCUU